rnacentral:lncRNA from 1 species
CCUGAUCCGAGGCUCAAAGGAUGACUCCAAGUGCCAGCUUCUCAGCUCUCCUCCAAGUUGGCUUCACUUUCCUGUGAUUGCAAGAUGGCGGCCAUAAUUCCAAACCUUACACCCUCUCAGGAAAAGGAAAAAGGUGUAGGAGGAGGCUGUGAGUCUUUGCAACUCCACCAGGAUUCAAGUCAUCUUUGAGCCACAAAUGGAAUCCAAGGAAUGGAGAGGAGGGCAGGAGACGGUCCCACAGCACCUGGGCAAGAAGUGGAAGGGGAGAAGCAGGAGAGGGGCUGGGAUGGAGAAGACCUGCCUGACGUGAACGAGAGGCCCGAGGCCCGGCCUGCAGAGGAGUUACCUGCUGGGGGAGCAGGUCUCUGAACAUUUCCAGGGGAUAAGAAGUCACUGCGUCCUGUCGCGUAACUUCCUGUCCGCCUGGCUGUUUGUCCUGAGGACUGGAAGCUCCAUGCAGGCCUGGCCUGGGUCUUCGCACCACUGACUGUGGAGUGAAUGAGAAGCCUGGAUCUUGUUCUCUAAACUUAAAAGUUAUUGUUUAAAAAUAAUAUAAU